CCGCGCGAUAACGCGAUUCUCACCUGCGAAAAUCCUCCGGCCACGCUCCGACGAGACGAGCUCCCGCUUCCCGGCGCCGCCGCCGCCGCUCCGGCCGAAUUCGGCGGCUCUCUCUUCAUCUCUCCCCGCCGCUCCGGCGUCAAUCUCGUCGACUGCUGCUGCUCGUGCUUGACCUCCGCCGUGCUCGGCUUGCCCCGUGACGACGAAGGAGAGGGAGACGGAGACGGAGACGGAGACCUGAGUCCAAUGGCGGAGUGA
rnacentral:lncRNA from 1 species